rnacentral:rRNA from 1 species
ACCGAAUGUGCCUUAGGGUGAAAGAUUUAUUGUCUAGAGAUUGGCUCGCGUCAGAUUAGCUAGUUGGAGUGGUAACGGCACACCAAGGCGACGAUCUGUACUUGGUCUGAGAGGAUGACCAGGCACACUGGAACUGAGACACGGUCCAGACUCCUACGGGAGGCAGCAGUGGGGAAUUUUCCGCAAUGGGCGAAAGCCUGACGGAGCAAUACCGCGUGAGGGAGGACGGCUUUUGGGUUGUAAACCUCUUUUAUCAGGGAAGAAUCGAUGACGGUACCUGAUGAAUCAGCAUCGGCUAACUCCGUGCCAGCAGCCGCGGUAAUACGGAGGAUGCAAGCGUUAUCCGGAAUUAUUGGGCGUAAAGCGUCCGUAGGUGGUUUAUCAAGUCUGCUGUCAAAGCGUGCGGCUUAACCGCAUAAGGGCAGUGGAAACUGAUGAACUAGAGUGCGAUAGGGGUAACAGGAAUUCCCAGUGUAGCGGUGAAAUGCGUAGAUAUUGGGAAGAACACCAGCGGCGAAAGCGUGUUACUGGGUCUGCACUGACACUGAGGGACGAAAGCUAGGGGAGCGAAAGGGAUUAGAUACCCCUGUAGUCCUAGCCGUAAACGAUGACAACUAGGCGUGGUUCGUAUCGACCCGAGCCGUGCCGUAGCCAACGCGUUAAGUUGUCCGCCUGGGGAGUACGCACGCAAGUGUGAAACUCAAAGGAAUUGACGGGGGCCCGCACAAGCGGUGGAGUAUGUGGUUUAAUUCGAUGCAACGCGAAGAACCUUACCAAGGCUUGACAUCCUCGGAACCCUGAUGAAAGUUAGGGGUGCCUUCGGGAGCCGAGAGACAGGUGGUGCAUGGCUGUCGUCAGCUCGUGUCGUGAGAUGUUGGGUUAAGUCCCGCAACGAGCGCAACCCACGUUUUUAGUUGCCAGCAUUCAGUUGGGCACUCUAGAGAGACUGCCGGUGACAAACCGGAGGAAGGUGUGGAUGACGUCAAGUCAGCAUGCCCCAUACGCCUUGGGCUACACACGUACUACAAUGCGUCGGACAAAGAGCAGCCAGCCAGCGAUGGUGAGCCAAUCUCAUAAACCGACGCUCAGUUCAGAUUGCAGGCUGCAACUCGCCUGCAUGAAGGCGGAAUCGCUAGUAAUCGCAGGUCAG